rnacentral:rRNA from 1 species
UGCCAGCCGCCGCGGUAAUACGGAGGGUGCAAGCGUUAAUCGGAAUUAUUGGGCGUAAAGGGCGCGCAGGCGGUCUUGUCGGUCAGGUGUGAAAGCUCGGGGCUCAACCCCGGAAGUGCACUUGAAACAGCAAGACUUGAAUACGGGAGAGGAAAGCGGAAUUCCUGGUGUAGGGGUGAAAUCCGUAGAUAUUCGGAGGAACACCAGUGGCGAAGGCGGCUUUCUGGACCGAUACUGACGCUGAGACGCGAAAGCGUGGGGAGCAAACACGAUUAGAUA